UGCCUGCUGGACCCCAAGGUCCAUGCUGCGAAUGGCUGUCACAUCCCUCUUCUCUCCUGCAGGAGGCGGCGGUGGCGGGUUCCAGCCGGGGCACGACAGCUACGGGCGAGGAGGGCGCAACAUACCCGGCUUACCUGGCAUUAAUUAUGGAGGCGGCGGUGGCGGGUUCCAGCCGGGGCACGACAGCUACGGGCGAGGAGGGCGCAACAUACCCGGCUCACCUGGCAUUAAUUAUGGUAAUGGAGGUCUUUCAUAAAAGCCAAAGCAGGAGAAGCUCUCCUGCUGAGGAGCUAACCCCCGCGUGGGCGCUGCCUGUCCGCCUGGGUUUCUGAUCGGCGUCCUCAAUGGGCACCGAAGCUGGGGAGGGGUUUGCAUGGGACGCGGGACACAAUCCAUC
rnacentral:lncRNA from 1 species